GUGAGUAGGCGUCAUUCUUCACAGUAGUCCUCUGCCUCCACCGCCCCGGGAUCUCCUUGCGCUCGGUCCUCUACGUGGAGUCACCUAUGCAGAGGAAUUCCACGGGGCGGGGGCGAGGACAGGGUGCGGGGGUCUUUAUGGCAGACAAUCCCCGGCUGAGCGCUUGGCCAGAGUUUCUGUGAUGCUAGAAUCUGGACUGCCUGCGACCUCUCCGGGACUCGGACACCAGCCCUCGCCUCCUGGUGAUCUUUUAGGUCCUGCAGAGAAGUGAAGAGAUCUCGCUCUGUCACCCAGGCUGGAGUGAAAUGGCACAAUCUUGGCUCACUGUAACCUCCGCCCCCAGGUUCGACUGAUUCUCGUGCCUCAGCCUCCUCAGUAGCUGGGAUUACAGAUGAGCCCCAGAGAGGCGAAGCCACUUGAGCUCGUGAGUGACAGUCAGAUGUCAAGCCCUGCUCUUUCUAAAGCGUGCUGCCUUCAGAAAAGAAGAGCCAGAAGGAUGGAAAUUACUUCAGAAAGAUGAAUACCAGCUUUGAAGGAAUAAAAGCUGACGAGGAAUUGAAGGAGUUGAGGCACGAGCUUGAACAGGGUUGCAUGUUUGGCCCUUGAUUGUAAAUGCCCAUUGCUGCACCUGUUCCUGUUACUUGGGGAGUUGCAGCAGAAGGAACAGCGGCCUGGGACUCCAGAGAACUGGGUUCCCUCUCAUCCCUCCAGGGCCACCACUUCUUGUGGGCCCUUGGGCAAGUCACUGUACUUUCUGAGUCUCAGUUUCCCCAUUUGCAGAAUGGAAAUAACUACCCCGGUCUACCAACUUAGAAGAAUUGCUUUGAGGAUCUGAUAAGGUGGUGUGGAUGAUGCUGCCUUGGGGGCUUUACAGUCUGGAGCUCAAGGGACCCCUUAAGUUGGGCUUACUUAGUAACUCCAGGGGUGGGCAGAACAGGACUCCAAUGAGGGUUUUUUUCUUUUUCCCUUUUUUUUCUUUUCCUAUCUCUUAACUUUUAUCUUUAUUAUUUUACAAUGCCCUUGUAAGAUGAAACAAGUGAUGCUGAAAUAUCUUUUUCUUUUUUAACCUUUAUUUUAGAAUUGGGGUACAUGUGCAGGUUUGUUACAUAGGUACAGUGUGGGCUGCUGAGGUUUGGGAGUACGAAUGAAUUAGUCACCCCAGUGGUGAGCAUAGUGCCCGAUAAGUGGUUUUUUCAACCCUUACUCCCAUCCCUCUCCAUUCUUGUGUUCCCCAGUGUCUGCUGUUCCCAUUUUUAUGACCAUGUGUACUCAAUGUUUAGCUCCCACUUAGAAGUAAGAACAUGCCCAGCACUUUGGGAGGCCGAGGUGGGUGGAUCAUGAGGUCAAGAGAUCGAGACCAUCUUGGCUAACAAAGUGAAACCCUGUCUCUACUAAAAACAUAAAAAAUUGGCCGGGUGUGGUGGUGGGCACCUGUAGUCCUAGCUACUCGGGAGGCUGAGACAGGAGAAUCGCCUGAACCGGGGAGGUGGAGGUUGCAGUGAGCUGAGAUUGUACCACUGCACUCCAGCCUGGGUGACAGAGUGAGACUCCAUCUCAAAAAAAUAAAAAUAAAAAAAUAAAAAGAAUGUGGUGUAUGA
rnacentral:lncRNA from 1 species